GGUUAGGACAUGGCAUAAUGGUUUGUGCAUUGGACUAUGAUUCUGGAGACCAGGGUUCAAAUCCCAGCUCAGCCA
rnacentral:tRNA from 1 species